CGGAGGGUGCAAGCGUUAUCCGGAUUUACUGGGUUUAAAGGGUGUGUAGGCGGGCUGUUAAGUCAGUGGUGAAAUCUCCGGGCUCAACCCGGAAACUGCCAUUGAUACUAAUGGUCUUGAAUAUCGUUGAGGUAGGCGGAAUAUGUCAUGUAGCGGUGAAAUGCAUAGAGAUGACAUAGAACACCAAUUGCGAAGGCAGCUUACUAAGCGAUGAUUGACGCUGAGGCACGAAAGCGUGGGGAUCAAACAGGAUUAGAUACCCUGGUAGUCCACGCCCUAAACGAUGAUUACUCGACAUACGCGAUACACAGUGUGUGUCUGAGCGAAAGCAUUAAGUAAUCCACCUGGGAGGUACGUCCGCAAGGAUG
rnacentral:rRNA from 1 species